rnacentral:rRNA from 1 species
UACGUAGGGUGCGAGCGUUGUCCGGAAUUAUUGGGCGUAAAGAGCUCGUAGGCGGUGUGUCACGUCGUUCGUGAAAACCUGCAGCUUAACUGUGGGCGUGCGGUCGAUACGGGCAUCACUGGAGUUCGGCAGGGGAGACUGGAAUUCCUGGUGUAGCGGUGAAAUGCGCAGAUAUCAGGAGGAACACCGGUGGCGAAGGCGGCAUCCUGGACCGACAUUGACGCUGAACGGCGAAAGCUAGGGGAGUAAACGGG